GCUGGGUGUGGUGGCUCACGCCUGUAAUCCUAGCACUUUGGGAGGCUGAAGCGGGUGGAUUGCUUGAGCUCAGGAGUUUGAGAUCAGCCUGGGCAACAUGGUGAGACUCUGUCUCUACUAAAACAAAUUUAAAAAUUAGCUGGGUGCGGUGGCACGCACCUGUAGUCCCAGCUACCUGGGAGACUGAGGCAGGAGGAUCCCUUGAGCCCAGGAGGUCAAGGAUGCAGUGAGUCCUGAUUGUGCCACUGCAUUCUAGCCUGGGCAACAGAGCAAGACCCUGUCUCA
ensembl:misc_RNA Metazoa_SRP Metazoan signal recognition particle RNA